UGUCCAGAAGUUUUUAAAUGCUCGAAUUCCAAGUUAUGAUGCAACUCACAAGUUAGUGAAAAAAUUUCGGAAAUGGGAAGUGCUCAUGACAAGAAGUGCAGAAGCCCAUCUUGAUGGCAUUGCAUAUCACUUGGACAGUAUCCUUAAAAAGUCUUUUGGACAUCUUUCACAUUGAACACAAAUUUCAUGUACCUCUGUACAAAGAACUACUAAGCUAUAUGGGCUAAAGUCAUAUAAAGAAACAGUAGUGGAAGAAUUUACCUAAACAUGGUGAUCGGGCUGUCCGUGUUAAUAUUUGCAAGUGGGUUUUGAAACAUGUACCUGACAGUGAAGUUGGUUGAUACCUCUUUCUGUUUUCAGAUGAGGCACGACUCAAUUUAUGCGAGCAUGUUAGCCCUCAAAACUGUCUAUGUUGGAACACUGUCACAGCUAUUCUGCUUCACGAGGAACCCAUUAAUGGCCAGAAAAUAGUGUGGUGCAUAGUUAGAGGUGACAGAAUAAUGGGCCCAAUAAUUUUAAUGACACAGUUAACUGUGAAAGGAAUGUGCAAGACUUUUGUAACCAAUUUUAAUGAGUAGAGUUAAAAGAAUGAAGCAUAGUAUUUUUUCAACAAGGGAGCACUAAAGGCCAAAGUAGCACAACAAACCCACACAUGUUACAGGAAUUCAAGGAUAAUAUCCAUGAGUCAGUUCAUUCACUUUCUCAAAGAGAAGUACAUUGUGUGACAAAUAAUUUCUUCAGUAGAUGUGAGGAAUGUGUGGAAAAAAAAUGGUAUGUACUUCCAGCAUCUCAAUGCAUGAAAUAGGUAGAAGAUAGUGAUGAAGUGCCAACCUUUUCUACACUGGAAGUGCAAUCUGUAGCAAAUUAUGUGGAGAGUUUGUGUAGCAACAGUAGUAAUACAGGGUGUCCAACAAAGGACUCUCUAACAUUAGAAUCAAAUACAACAUUUGAAGACAGUGUCCCGAAAAAACGGUUAUUCUGAGACACAGAUACAUAAUUCAUUCAGUGCCAGGCGAGUUCAAUCUAUGGGGCAGAAUGAGGAUACGAAGACACCCACCACUCUGGCCUUUUUUGGUGCCAUGUCAUUAAGAACCGGAAGAGUCCUCGGAAGAUAUGGAAUUAAGUGUUUUUCAACCAUCUGCAAAACUGAAAAACCUGUUGGGUUCAGUUAAGGAUGCUCUUGGCCUGAGGAAAUGUGGUGUGUACAAGAUUCCUUGUCAAUGUGGUGCAGCAUAUAUAGGCCAGACAUGCCGCACGAUACAAAAACACUGAGAUGAACAUCAGUGUCAUACACGCCUACACCAACCAGAAAAGUCGGCAAUUGCGGAACACUGCCUGAAUACAGGACAUUGCAUGAUAUAUGAAAAGAUGGAAGUUUUAUCACUGGCACCCUCUCUCUGGGACUGUGUCAUUACGGAAGUAAUACAUAUCCGUAGAGCUGAUAAUCUCAUCAACAGGGAAGUGGUAUUUCAACUGAGUAGAGCCUGGAACCCUGCAUUGACUGCUAUUAAAUCACAGCACAAAAAUCAAGAUUCUUCAAUAACAGACUCGUCAUAACAUUGGUCUAGUACGGUCUUUGGUGAGAAACGACUGGUCACACUGUUAGCAAAUGCUGCAUACAGUGCACGCACAGGAGAGCCGCUCUGCGAUUUUUGGCAGAGGGCAUUUGAACGUGGCACCAUCUAACUGCAAAUAAUUGCACAUGCACGACUUCUGUGACUGCGCAUACUUUGCAUGCGUGUUCUAGAAAUGGGGUGUCGAUGUGCGGAUACUGUCAGUCGUACCUAGCCACCGGCAAGGUUAAAUCACCUGAAGAUGUCGGACAGUUGCUCCGAGGAAAUUUUGGGGAAUUUGCACGUGAUCCGUCAGCAAACCUGUGAAGACUAUUUGCAACAUAUUUAUAUAUAUUUCUACAUCCAAAAUUAUAAUGGCCUGCAGACGAGAUAGAUACCUCACUAACCAAGAAAUAGAAGAAAUAAUAAACAGUGACGCAUUCUAUAAAGUGGUGUCAGAUGAUCAGGACCAUACUGAUAUCACCGUAUGUCCUCCUGAAGUAGACUAUAUGACCAGCAAAGAAGAAGGUCCAGACGAUGUUACUGGAACUGGGGAAGUCUCAGAUGUGCCAGGGGCUAUUGAAUAACAUUAACAUUAUGUUGCAUCAGGGAAUAACGAAGAAACUGUAUGUAAAACUUCACUGCCAAGUACAUCCCAAGUUUCCAGAAGUAAAUCGAAGAAUGGCCCUCUUAAUGUCUGGCUCUUCUACAUGGGAAAAAUGCACUGGAUUUACUGGAUUUAAGACGUGCUGUUACAGUUACAUACCUGAAAUUGGACACUGGAAGACCAAAUAUUGGAUGUCCAAUGGAAUACCCAUCAAGUCAGUUGAGAGUGAUAUCAGACAUCAGGUUUGAUGGAAUUAGUCAUAUGAUUGACAUAAGAAACAUGCAAAGAAGAUGUGCAAGAGCUAAAUGCAAUGGGAAACCAAAAACAUAUUGUAUUACAUGCCGUAUAACACUUUGUGUGAAGUGUUGUGUAAUAUAAAUAGUUAAGACUUGAAUACAGUUUAGUGUGCUAUAUGAUACUGUUAGAUCCCAGUCUCCUAUUUUGAGGACAGCCAUUA